rnacentral:rRNA from 1 species
CACGUAGGGUGCGAGCGUUGUCCGGAAUCAUUGGGCGUAAAGCGCGCGUAGGCGGCCCGGUAAGUCCGUUGUAAAAGUCAAAGGCUCAACCUUUGAAAGCCGAUGGAUACUGCCGGGCUAGAAUCCGGAAGAGGAGAAUGGAAUUCCCGGUGUAGCGGUGAAAUGCGCAGAUAUCGGGAAGAACACCCGUGGCGAAGGCGGUUCUCUGGGACGGUACUGACGCUGAGACGCGAAAGCGUGGGGAGCGAACAGG